AAAGCGGAGGAAAAGAAACCAACAGGGAUUGCCUUAGUAGCGGCGAGUGAGGCGGCAAAAGCUCAAAUUUGAAAUCUGGCUCUUUCAGAGUCCGAGUUGUAAUUUGAAGAAGGUAUCUUUGGGUCUGGCUCUUGUCUAUGUUUCUUGGAACAGAACGUCACAGAGGGUGAGAAUCCCGUGCGAUGAGAUGAUCCAGGCCUAUGUAAAGUUCCUUCGAAGAGUCGAGUUGUUUGGGAAUGCAGCUCUAAGUGGGUGGUAAAUUCCAUCUAAAGCUAAAUAUUGGCGAGAGACCGAUAGCGAACAAGUACAGUGAUGGAAAGAUGAAAAGAACUUUGAAAAGAGAGUGAAAAAGUACGUGAAAUUGUUGAAAGGGAAGGGCUUGAGAUCAGACUUGGUAUUUUGUAUGUUACUUCUUCGGGGGUGGCCUCUACAGUUUAUCGGGCCAGCAUCAGUUUGGGCGGUAGGAGAAUUGCGUUGGAAUGUGGCACGGCUUCGGUUGUGUGUUAUAGCCUUCGUCGAUACUGCCAGCCUAGACUGAGGACUGCGGUUUAUACCUAGGAUGUUGGCAUAAUGAUCUUAAGUCGCCCGUCUUGAACACCAGGAACCAAAA
rnacentral:rRNA from 1 species